CGAAAAUCUCUCUCUUCGCUGCUCUACUUCCUGCCGUUCCAGUACACAGGGAGAAGAGUUGCUGUUACAGUUCUACCCGGUAACCCGUAACCCAGGUACAAGGCUGUGUGUAGGCCCCUAACACGGCUGGGAUCUAGGCUUCGCGCUGAGGUUUCUGAGGUUAUCAGGCACAUGUUUGGAUAACGGUACAGCGUCUGGGUGCUAAGGUCCACCAUCAGGCUUGUUUGAACUUUGCACAUUUUCUAAUGCAGCUUAAUUUGUUUGUUUCGCAUAAAAAUGGGGUGAUAUUUGUUUGCACAAUUUGGUACGUGUAUACGUACACAUAAUAGAAUUACCACUGAUAUCAGGACUAUACAUUUAGGCAACAGGAACUACAUAAUAUAGUAAAUGUACGAUGAUCACAAACAUAGGAGGCAUUGCCUACUUAAUUAAUGAGGAAAAUUAAUUAUUAACUUUUUAAAUUAACCACAAAUCAACUGCUGCUG